CCCGCACCCCCCUCCCAUCCCCUAGCAUCUGCAUUUUGAGAUCUCUCUGUUUCUGUUCCCAGCUGGAGCCGAAAGCCAGGGGAUCCUGAACAGUCACAGCCCUGCAGGCCCAUUAGUGCAUCGAGUCCGACCUGCUGUACGGCCCAGGCCUGAGAACGCUCCCGCCCCCGUUGCCCUGCCCCGCACAGACACACAUCGCACUCAAUACAUCACCAGCUCCUUGGGCACAGGGCUGGCUGCGAGCAGGCACAGGGGAUAUUGCAGCCAGGAACUCGCCAGGGAAACACAACUUAGUGCCAUUUCUUCUCCUGAGACCACCCAAGAACUGGCCACCGCUGCCCCCCACAACACUGGUGAAAGGCCCCUUUAUCCUGGGACAAGGGUCCCACACUUGGGACUCUCCCAGGAGAGCAAAACCAGGAGGCCACGUGAGGCCAAGGCCGUUUAACCAUCGGACACGGUCCUUCGCCAGCCAAGUGCCGCCCCCCCAUCCAGCCUGUGAUGCCAGCGUCCAUCGCCCACCUGGGACCUCCUCAAAAACCAAGAGAACCCCAGAAAACCCACCGAGCUACCUCACAACCCUGCUGCUUUGCCAUGGUGCCCGCAGGAGUCUCCUGCCAGUGCCCACGGCUGCCUUAUGCCACCUGCCCAGGAUCGCAGAGCCAAGAAAGGUGCCCGGGUGUUCAGCUCCAGGGGCGCAGGAUCAACCCAGACGUCCUGGGUUUCAGGACCUCGAGGUGGCAGCUCUCACCAUCCAGUGCAGGGGGGGGACACGGGCAUCGGGACCCAGCAUUAGACUCGCACUGCAACAACUCAAGGGGGGCUGGCUCCCGGGACUCCCAGACUCAGCCACUGGCCAAGUCACUCCUCUGUGCCUCAGUUUCCCCACCUGGACACUGGGGAGAAUGAGCCCCACCUGCGUUAUCAGGUGCUCGGAGCUGUACGGACAGAGACUCGGCACUUUACAAAGGAGGCCGGCAUUUUAAUCCCCAUUGCCCAGAUGGGGAAACUGAGGCACGAGGCAGGGAAAGGGACGUGACCAAGGUCACCCAGCACAGCGAACCCAGGCAUCCUGGCUUCCAGCCCCUCCC
rnacentral:lncRNA from 1 species